CUCCGGGAAGGUCGUCGCCUGGACCCGCCUCGCCGUCCGGAAGUCCCUCACCGACACGACGUGGCUUUGCCGAAUCAGCAGAUGUUCAAUCACCCGGGCUUCAAGCUUGUCAUUGUUGGCGAUAAGGGCAUGGGUAAUUGUCACUGGCGUGCUCUGUUUUACCAAUUUUGAUUCAAUCGCUCGUUACUUUGUAUACAGAACAGGUGCAUAUGCUAGAUGCAAGAAAACUGAAAUUUGCCGGAAUUAUUGCAAGUUGAAAAAUGUCUGUCAAGUCUGCCUUU